CUUGGCGGCAGUAGUGGUAUGAAGAGGACCUUCGGAGCCAGGUCUGCCCAUUCUUAGGGCUCCAGCCACUGGCUGAGGCAUCAGAAGUGAGGAGCAUCUCUGCCCGGCCGCCCAUCGUCUGAGAUGUGGGGAGCGCCUCUGCCCUGCCGCCCUGUCUGGGAUGUGAGGAGCAUCUCUGCUGGGCCGCAACGCCGUCUGGGAGGUGAGGAGCGUCUCUGCCCAGCCGCCCCGUCUGAGAAGUGAGGAGACCCUCUGCCUGGCAGCCGCCCCGUCUGAGAAGUGAGGAGCCCCUCCGCCCGGCAGCCGCCCUGUCUGAGAGGUUGCAAUUCUGACUGUGCUGGUGACGCUGGUUCCAGGUCCCUCAGGAACCCCUCCCCCAGUCUGGUCUGCCCUUGAACUCUAUACUGGCCCCAGGGUAUCCCAGGAUUGUCAGAAAGGCCUGGCCAGGAUUCACCUGGGAGAGGGAUCAGCAUCUCUGCAAAGUUGUUGGAUUGAAAGAACUUUCAUUUUGAGCUACAUCAUUGAAGAGCUUUAAAUCUGAAAAUAAGAAAGACGUUGAACCCUAUUACUCACAUCUCUUUGUCAUUUGAAGCAGAUCCCGAACCACUCAAAAGGACAAAACAAGGAAACAGCAAUGAAACUGGAUUCAGUGAAUGGGGUAAGGGUAUUAAGUGUCUGAAAUAUAAGUGAUAAAAAAAUUAGUUUUUACCUUUUUUUCUAUUUUCUAAAUGUUUUGGUGGCUAGAAUAAGAUAUACUUUGAACUCAAGAGCAAUAAAUGUUAAUAUAUUAAAAGUAGCUUUAUGAAAUAUGGAAAGUAUCUUUAUUUCAAAAUACUUCAAAGUAAUCAUCUGAAUAUUUAUCAGAAAUAUUAAGACAACUUAUUAAAUCCUGUAUUAAAAUGAUUGCUUAUUACUUUUUGUUUAUACUAGUCAGAAGUGAUUCUCUUCCACAUUUUAGAUUUUUCAGAGUAAAAAGGAUAUAAUUUUAGACUUUCAAUUGAAUAUAAACUGGGGUUUUUCCACACGAUUUGUGGACAUGACUGUCUGAUGGUGACUCUUAGGUAUUUAUGCUAAAAAUGUUAUUUUGGGGAUCCUUGGGAAUGGACUCUGAUAUUUAUUUAUUUAUUUAUUUAUUUAUUUAUUUAUUUAUUUAUUUAUUUAUUUUGAGGCGGAGUUUCACUCUUGUUGCCCAGGCUGGAGUGCAAUGGCACCAUGCCGGCUCAUCGCAACCUCCGCCUCCUGGGUUCAAGCAAUUCUCCUGCCUCAGCCUCCUGAGUAGCUGAGAUUACAGGCAUGCGCCACCACGCCCGGCUAAUUUUUUUAUAUUUUUAGUAGAGACGGGGUUUCUCCAUGUUAGUCAGGCUGGUCUCGAACUCCCGACCUCAGGUGAUUCACCCACCUCGGCCUCCCAAAGUGCUGGGAUUACAGGCAUGAGCCACCGUGUCCGGCUGGACUCUGAUAUUUAUAUUCAUUCACAUUAUUGGCCAGUAGGGAACUGAUAUCUGACUCAAAAAUUAGUAGGAUAUGAAAUCCUUCAUUCUAUCCAUGAGCUUGUUAUUCUUGAGAAAAAAAUUUACUUUGAGAGUCUGAGGAAUGAUAAGUUUGUUACAUUCCAGAAUCUAGUUUUGGUGUUGUGUCCAUCCUUUAGAUAGGGUGCAGCUCUGUAUUACCAUAGCAACAACUAAUUUUUGUUUCCAUAGCCACUGACUGCACUCUUGACCCUGCCUACCAUCUUGCAAAUGCAUCCUCUUGCUUAGAAGAACCAGGGGAGGGGUGGGGCAUGGUGGUUCAUGCCUGCAAUCCCAGCACUUUGGGAGGCUGAAGCGGGCAGAUCACUUUGAGCUCAGGAGUUCAAGACCAGCCUGGGCAAAAUGGCGAAACCGUCCCUUAAAAAUAAAAACAAAAUCGCACCACUAUACUCCAGCCUGGGAAACAGAGUGAGACCCUAUCUCAAAAGAAAAAAAAAAAAAAAAAAAAAGGGCCAGGCACAGUGGCUCACGUCUGUAAUCCCAGCACUUUGGGAGGCUCAGACGGGCAGAUCACCUGAGGUCAGGAGUUCGAGACCAGCCUGACCAACAUGGUGAAACCCCAUUUCUACUAAAAAUAAAAAAUUAGCCAGGCAUGGUGGAAUGCGCUAUAGUCCCAGCUACCAGGGAGGCUGAGGCAGGAGAAUCACUUGAACCAGGGAGGCAGAGGUUGCAGUGAGCCAAGAUCACGCCACUGCACUUCAGCCUGGAUGACAGAGUGAGACUCUGUCAAAAGAAAAGAAAAGAAAAAAGAGAGGGAGAGAAAGGAAGAAGAGAAAGAGAUGGAGGGAGGGAGGAAGGAAAAGAGAGAAAAAGAGAAGGAAGAGAAGGAAGGGAAAGAGGGAGGGAGGGAGGGGAGGAAGAGGAGGAGGAAGAAAGAAAAGAAGGGCAACAACCAGGGGAAGAAUAUGGAUGAAUCAGUCCAAAUUUAUCAUCAUCACUGUGCCUUUCUGGUGACAGGUCAGUGGUGAUAAUGUUCUUUGAGGAUGACUCCCUGCAGUACUAACGGAAGCACAAAAGUUCCAGAACUGGAUGACAGCUCACUUAUUUCAGGCUAGAAAAAAAUCUGGGCACACUAGGCUGAAUGAUAAGCUCCUUGGCAUGCUAGCCAAAAUCAGCUUAAAAGAGGGCUACCUGGGUACAAGAGAACCCUUAUUUUGGGUUGAAAAGCAGAAGCUUCCCAAGAGGGAAGAUACACUGAAGCUGAAGGUGUGGCAAUCCCCCCAACCAAUUAGACUGGGGAUGAAGGCUGCUUAGUUGGACUAGGAAAAGUAAUGGAUACUGGAUUCCAGAGUGGGCAAUGUUGGGAGGAGCAAGGUAGAAUGUGAUUUAAAGGGACUAAGAAAUUUUGGGCUGAGCUAGGCUAUAGGAGAAUGGUAGACAGACCUGAGGAUUUUGCUGGGCUGUGUCAGUCUGGGUUAUAGAAGGGGGUGGAAAUUACAGCUAAGGGACUUGGAGAUGAGGGGAGGUAAGAAGACAGAUCUGAUGGUAUUGAGGUAGGCGCUGCUAAGAGAAGCAUCAAACAGGAGGGCUAGCCCAGGUUUGAGCUGGACACUCCACUGACAGUUCUAAAGCAGAAAAUUAGGGAAGGAAUAGUCAGGGCCUUAUCAGCUAUGCAGUAGCUUCUAGAAGUCAACAGCUGGCUCUGGGAGGGAAAAGAUUGAGAAAAACAAAAGAAAUAAGAGCAGAAGGUAUAGGGGAGAAGGUAGGGGUGAGAGUUAUCAGUCUGGUUAGAGCUGGGCUAAACAUUUAGUCUUACCAUCAGUUUGAAAGCACCUGGACCAGUUAGUUGCUGUAUAGGCAAAGUCAAAGGGAGAAGCCUGGCCUCUCUCUACUCAGUCAAGGUUCAUGACUUUAGGAGACUGUAAUGAACCAGGCAUACCAGGAAAGGAAAAGGUUAACUGAGGUUGAAAAAAAAACUUUAUGUGGCACUUUUAAACAAGCAGGUUGGUUUGGCUUGUGUGACUAUGAUGGUGCCUGAUUUUGAGCAGAGCAAUUUGUGUUGUGACAUUUUAAAAUCCAUUCUGGCACUUGGUGAUGAAUGUGUCGGCUGGCAGCUAAGAACUUGCUAGAAUGCAAGUAUGCAAGUCUUCACCAUUUAUAAUCGACACUUCCCUUUCCAGGAAAGAGCCUUUCUAAUCUUUGAAUCAGUGGAUUUAUCAAUUUGCAUAAAAUAUGCCAUCCUCAAUGAACACAUAUUUAUCAUCUACCACUUAACUUUCCUUCUGUUAAAAAAAAAAAAAAAGCAGAAUCACCUUCCUGUGAGUCAGCAGCUUUAAAUUCAGCUGCGCUGGGUGAAGCUGUUAAGGGUAGGAAGGAGCCAUCACUAGAAGGGGGAGAAGCAGGAAUAAAAUGAUCCUUUUCUAUUUCCAUGAUUUUUUAUGUUUCUGUUUAAAUGGUUAAAUGCCCAAUUAGGUUAGAUGCUAAUUAAAUGUAAAAUUACUGGGCUGUUCCAAUAUGCAUGUUAAAGUUGUACUUCUUGGUUGUUUGUAAUUUACCUAACUCUUGAGAGAUCAUCAGAGAAGCCCAGCUGAGUUUAAAGGCUUCCAACUGCCCAGGAUAUGCAUCAGUUCCUGAACAAAAAAAGAACACCCCAGGAUCAACAGAAGCUACUACCAAAUCCUUCAAACACUACAUGCACCACAUGCUCACAUUUGUCCUAUUUUUGCUACUAUUUAUCCACAAAAAAGCCAAGCCUGAACUCCUUCUUGAGGCCAAAACUUAAAAAUAUACCAAAUGAAUCGGUUCAAAAUUUUACAAAUUUGGUUUGGCUUAAUCAUAACUGAUUCUUCAUACUAUUGACACCAUUGAUUCUUCAUACUAUAGAUACCACUCACUAAAAUUACAACUCAGUCACCUCUUCCCAUAUACCAUAUUUCAUUAAAAUCAAUGUAAGAUAAGAAAUGGUUACCAGAUGCCAUCGUUUCAGACCAAACCAUAUGUCAAAUUUUGAAUAAACCUAACAACACCUGAUUGGCUAAGUAGCACACCUAGAUUUAUUAAAAUCACUACACUCCUUUAAUGUCUGUAGGAGAACAUGUACGCACAAGCACACACACACACGUUGUGUGUGCAUUUAUAUAUAUAUAUAUGUAUAUGCUACUGCAAAAUUGAAGAGACUUUACCAAGUUCUGUCAUUGACAGGGACAUUAUAUAUAAAGAAUAUACAUACUGUAAUUCACCUCAUCAAGAGUUAAUUUUAUGGCCGGGCACAGUGGCUCACACCUGUAAUCCUAACACUUUGGGAGGCAGAUCACUUUGAGCUCAGGAGAUUUGAGACCAGCCUGGGCAACGUGGCAAAAACCCAUCUCUACAAAAAAAUACAAAGAUGAGCUGGGCGUGGUGACUCCCGCCUGUAGUCCCAGCUGUAUACAUGGGAGGCUGAGGCUGGAGGAUUGCUCGAGCCAGGUAGCAGAGGUUGCAGUGAGCCAAGAUUGUACCAGUGCACUCCGGCCUGGGUGACAGAGCAAGACCUUGUUUCAAAAAAAAAAAAAAAGAGUUAAUUGUACCAGGAACAUGUGGUGUCAAAAUUUAAAAUAUGUGAACUCUUUGACCCAGCAAUGCUAUUUUCAGGGAUAUAUCCUAAGAUCAUCACUAGUAAAGUAUAUAAAGAUGUGCAUGCAAGAAUAUUCAUCAUGGCUUUCUUUAUACAAUGAAAAAUUGGAAAUAAACUUCUCAUUAAUGGGGUGCUGGUUAAAGAAAAUCAUUAAUGUAAUAUGCAGCCAUCUAAAAGGGUAAUUGAUAUGUAUAUAUAUUUACAUAAGAAAACCCUCAUGUCAUAUUGCUGAGUAAAAAGAAAGAUGUCAAUGAGUAUUCAUGAUGUGAUUCUAUUUAUCCUUGCAAAUGGUGGAAAUUCAGUUAUAUGGUAUUUUCUCUCUUUUGUUUGUUUUUCAUAUAUGUAUAUAUUUCCUUUGAAAUCAGAAAAAAAUCAAGCUAUUUUCAUCAGAGGAAAAAAAUCAUUACUCUGUAUUUCAGUCACACUAAAAUAGUCACCCAAGAAGCCAGUUGUAGCUCUUUUAUUUCUGUGCCUUCUGUUGGAAGGAAAACUGUACAUAAACAGACCACAUUACAGAGAAAAUUUGAAUGGAUGGUGUCUGGUGCCUAAACCAAAACAGAGGUGAAAUAUUAUACAAACUGAAGAGGAUGACUUUAUCAUAGUGUUUGAAAUAAUUGUGUGUGUGUGUGUGUGUGUGUGUGUGUGUGUUGUGUGUGUGUAGAUAAAUACUAGUAUAUUUUCAUUACUAACCAAAAACAUAAUGUAAGUUCCAAAUGGCAGCAAAGAAUAUAAUUACCUUUGGCUUUUCUUACAUAAGUUACCACCCCAUAAAUCUUUAUGUUAAUUUGGAAAAAUCUGACCUGAACAGAUGGACCUCAUGCUGUUCUCUAAAACAUGAACAGAUUUCUGAUCUUCUGGACCAGGAAAUGAAGUCAGCACUAAAAGAGGAGACACCAUCAUCCAGCUCCUAGCAUUUCAAUCUAAGAAUCUGUAAUAAAAGCAGUAUUUCCCUCUACAGAAAUAUAGCAAAGUAAUAUGUUUACAUCUUAAUGAAAUGUACUCUUGAUAUGAUAAAACACAGUGUGAUAUUUAUGGCACUGGUGGUGCUGGCUGUCUGGUCCCUGAACCUCACCAAUUUUGGAGAAUCCCCUUGCUGUGGUUCUUGGCAGGUAGGGCAUUUGGCUUGAUGCUCCCAAGUUUCUUAUGGAAGGCACAUCUCUGGGGCUGACACUCUGCGUGGAUAAAUCUUCAUCUCAUUAGCCCAAGGGCCUUUUUUCCAUGAGCAUUUUCACAGAAGCUGUUUCACAAAUCAACUCCAUUGGUGUUGAAGACCUAAUAAAGGGCUCUCUAUCAAGUAAUUACAGCACUGAGGUUUGAAUUUCUGCUCUACAACCUUCUAGUUGUUUAAUUUAUGUUGGGAAGAGACUGGUGGGAUAAGCAGGCCUGAAUCUGAGGAAGAACUGGGGCCAAGGAGGUGGCCUGUGAGGUCAGGAGAUUGGUUACAUAAAAGAAGAAUGAGUAAAUAGUUAAAUAUAUCGAGGAUAAUGGAAGCCAGAUUUUUUUUACCAAGAGAGAAGGAAGUUACAAAUAGAAUAAGGGUGAAGACUAGAAUGAACCCUGUAGUGUUGGAGUAGAGCUAGAGAUAUUGGAGUAAAUUCAUGAGUUUUAAUAUAAAUGGAGAGAAAGAUAUAUAAAUAGAUAUAGGGGUGUGUGUGUGGGUGUGGGUGUGUGUGUGGGUGUGGGUGUGUGUGAAUUUCCUAGCUCUGUCUGCUAAAAUGGCCUAAAAACAGUUACACUCCAGUAGCAAUGACCACACCUAGCAUCCAGAGCUUGGUUCUAAAAAUCCAUUCUCAAGUAAAAGCAACCAGAGCUCAGUGGAGAAACAGGUGAUGAAAUAACUGCAAUGAUUGUGGCAGAAAAAAUACCAGAAGAGCCUGAAAUGUCUUGCACCCCAAAAAAGUACUCUCAGAAUGAUACAGAGAUGCCAAAAGGACACAGGAGCUGGCUUGAAGGGUAUCCCAAUGGCUGGAACUGGAGCAUUUUCAGCAUCAAAACCAAUAGUGAUAAUAAUGGCUUAUGAUCUAUUGGAUAAAAUAGAAAUCCACAAGUCCACACUGAUGGAAAUAAGCCAAUAAGAAGGGAGAGGAAAAAACUUCUGUACAAUAGAAUCCCAACUAGUAAAUGGAAAACAAAUGUUGUAAUUAGAAAAACUACAAUUUGGCAAUCAUCCUAGUAACAGUUUAUGCAAGAAUCAUAAAAUAAGCAAGUGAAACUUUGUUAAGAAACCAGAUGUUUACAUAGCCUCAAAGUGUCCUCCUACAAAAUACUUAUUAAUUCAAAGGGAAAGAGAAUAACUUAACAGUGGAGAAAUUAUCACCUUAAGCCAUCAAAGUUAACAUCACCAACAAAAAAACAAUAUUAUGUGCCUUUUAAUAUGAUACAUUUGGAAGAAUACAAUUUCACUUCUAUCACAUUCCUGCCAAAAAAAUGUAUCACCUGAAUCUAAUCAAGAAGAAACAUCAGACAAACCUAAAAUGAGGAACUCUACAAAAAAAAAAAAAAAAGAAAAAGGCCUGAACUCAAAAAUGUCAAGGUCACUAAAGAUAAGGAAGGACUGAGGAAAUGUCACAAAUUAAAGAUUAAAGAGACAUAACAACUAAAUGUAAUUCAUAAUCCUGACUUUGAUUCUAGACCAAAAGUAAGAAAUAUUUUUUCAAAAAGGAAAUUGUUAGGACAAAUGACAAAUUUUGAAUGUGGUGUGUGGAUUAGAUAGUGGAAUUAUAUCAAUGUUAAAUUUCUGAUUUUGGCGAUAACACUGUGGUUAUGCAGGAGAGGGUCCUUGUCUUAAAGGAAAACAUUUAAGUAGUUAGGGAUAAUUGGAUAUCACCUCUGCAACUUACCUUCAAUUGGUUCAGAAAAAGAAAAUGAAUGGCAAAACAAAUGUAAAAUGUUUACAAUUGGAGAACUUGGGUGAAGAAUAAUAAGAGAGUUAUCUUUUACCCAGGAGUGUGUUGUAUUAUAUUUGCAACUUUUAUGUAAGUUUGAAAUUACUGCAAAAUAAAAAGUUACAAAAAUGGCAA